rnacentral:rRNA from 1 species
AAACUAUAGAGUUUGAUCCUGGCUCAGAUUGAACGCUGGCGGCAUGCCUUACACAUGCAAGUCGAACGGUAGAGUAGCAAUACUCGAGAGUGGCGAACGGGUGAGUAAUAUAUCGGAACGUGCCCAAUCGUGGGGGAUAACGUAGAGAAAUUUACGCUAAUACCGCAUACGAUCUAAGGAUGAAAGCGGGGGAUCGCAAGACCUCGCGCGAUUGGAGCGGCUGAUAUCAGAUUAGGUUGUUGGUGAGGUAAAAGCUCACCAAGCCGACGAUCUGUAGCUGGUUUGAGAGAACGACCAGCCACACUGGGACUGAGACACGGCCCAGACUCCUACGGGAGGCAGCAGUGGGGAAUUUUGGACAAUGGGCGCAAGCCUGAUCCAGCAAUGCC